GGUGGGUUGGCUCAGUGGUUAGAGCGUAGGUCUCGUAACCAAAAGGUUGCGGGAUCGCAUCGAAUCCCGCUAGAGGCUG
rnacentral:tRNA from 1 species